rnacentral:rRNA from 1 species
UUUUUAUAUUUAUUUAUAUUUUAAUUAUUUAUAUUAAUUAAUAAAUAUAAAUAUUUAUUGGUUUGGGGUGAAUUUAAAAUUAAUAAAACUUUUAAUUAUUUUAAUAAUAAUUUUUAAUUUAUUGAUCCAAUUUUUUGAUUAUAAGAUUAAGU